rnacentral:rRNA from 1 species
GACGAACGCUGGCGGCGUGCCUAAUACAUGCAAGUCGAGCGAGACUCUUCGGAGUCUAGCGGCGGACGGGUGAGUAACACGUGGGCAACCUGCCUGUAAGACUGGGAUAACACCUGGAAACCGGUGCUAAUACCGGAUAAUCCUUUUCCUCUCAUGAGGAAAAGCUGAAAGUCGGUUUCGGCUGACACUUACAGAUGGGCCCGCGGCGCAUUAGCUAGUUGGUGAGGUAACGGCUCACCAAGGCGACGAUGCGUAGCCGACCUGAGAGGGUGAUCGGCCACACUGGGACUGAGACACGGCCCAGACUCCUACGGGAGGCAGCAGUAGGGAAUCUUCCACAAUGGACGAAAGUCUGAUGGAGCAACGCCGCGCGAGCGAUGAAGGCCUUCGGGUCGUAAAGCUCUGUUGUUAGGGAAGAACAAGUACCGGAGUAACUGCCGGUACCUUGACGGUACCUAACCAGAAAGCCACGGCUAACUACGUGCCAGCAGCCGCGGUAA